rnacentral:rRNA from 1 species
GUAGCGUAAUCAUUUGGUUUUUAAUAGAGAUCUGGAAUGAAGGGUAAAACAAAUAUUAGUUUCUUGCCCGUAAAGGGUGAAUUUAAGAUUAGAGUAAAAACGCUCUAAUUUUUUGUGGGACGAUAAGACCCUAAAAGCUUUAUUUUAAAUAUUGGUAUAUUUUUAGGACGCGGCAUAGCUGGAAAUUGGUUGGGGUAAUGGCUCUAAAUGUAUUAGGGUAUAUUUUUAUAGUGUGUCUAAAUAGACAUCCUUAUAAUUAGGACAAUAAUUGUAGUUACUUUAGGGGUAACAGGGUAAUUACUUUAUAGAGAUCUUAUUUAUAGCGUAGAUUGCCACCUCGAUGUUGAAUUAAAAUAUCGGCGAGACGAAAAAAGUUCGUUUUGAGGGUUUGUUCAACCUUUAAUUUUUU